rnacentral:rRNA from 1 species
GACGAACGCUGGCGGCGUGCUUAACACAUGCAGGUCGAGCGAUGAAACUCCUUCGGGAGUAGAUUAGCGGCGGACGGGUGAGUAACACGUGGGUAACCUGCCUCAUAGAGGGGAAUAGCCUUUCGAAAGGAAGAUUAAUACCGCAUAAGAUUGUAGCUUCGCAUGAAGCAGCAAUUAAAGGAGUAAUCCGCUAUGAGAUGGACCCGCGUCGCAUUAGCUAGUUGGUGAGGUAACGGCUCACCAAGGCGACGAUGCGUAGCCGACCUGAGAGGGUGAUCGGCCACAUUGGGACUGAGACACGGCCCAGACUCCUACGGGAGGCAGCAGUGGGGAAUAUUGCACAAUGGGGGAAACCCUGAUGCAGCAACGCCGCGUGAGUGAUGACGGUCUUCGGAUUGUAAAGCUCUGUCUUCAGGGACGAUAAUGACGGUACCUGAGGAGGAAGCCACGGCUAACUACGUGCCAGCAGCCGCGGUAAUAC